CACCCGCAGCUCGAGUGGUGGUCACUUUUAUUGAGCGUAAAGCGUUUGUAGCCGGUUUUGCAAAUCUUCAGAUAAAUUCCUCUGCUUAACAGAUGAUCUUCUGAAGAGACUGCGAGACUUGGGACCGGGUGAGGUUGAAGGUACUUCCGGGGUAGGGGUAAAAUCCUGUAAUCCUGGAAGGACGACCGGUGGCGAAGGCGUUCAACUAGAACGGAUCCGACGGUGAGGAACGAGGGCUAGGGUAGCAAACCGGAUUAGAUACCCGGGUAGUCCUAGCUGUAAACACUGCCCACUUGGUGUUGCCCCCCCGAUGAGGGGAGGCAGUGCCGGAGCGAAGGUGUUAAGUGGGCCGCUUGGGGAGUAUGGUCGCAAGGCUGAAACUUAAAGGAAUUGGCGGGGGAGCACCGCAACGGGAGGAGCGUGCGGUUUAAUUGGAUUCAACGCCGGAAAACUCACCGGGAGCGACCUUUGGAUGAGAGUCAGCCUGAUGAGCUUACUCGAUAGAAGGAGAGGUGGUGCAUGGCCGUCGUCAGCUCGUACCGUAGGGCGUUCACUUAAGUGUGAUAACGAGCGAGACCCCCAUCUCUAAUUGCUAACGUGCACUCGCGUGCACGCGCACUUUAGAGGGACCGCCAGUGCUAAACUGGAGGAAGGAGGGGUCGACGGCAGGUCAGUACGCCCCGAAUCUCCCGGGCAACACGCGCGCUACAAAGGGCAGGACAAUGAGUUGCCACCUCGAAAGGGGGAGCUAAUCUCGAAACCUGUUCGUAGUUAGGAUUGAGGGCUGUAACUCGCCCUCAUGAAUGUGGAUUCCGUAGUAAUCGCGGGUCAACAGCCCGCGGUGAAUAUGCCCCUGCUCCU
rnacentral:rRNA from 1 species